UACACCCAGCCUACUAGUGACAGUGCCUCACUGCUAAAAGCAAUGGCUACUUAGAAAGAACAUGAAAGUAAAGCUAAACAAUAAUGUUUUGAAUAAUGUUUUAAGUGUUGAUAGAAGCAAGUGUUAUUAUUAGUAAAUAUAACUUACUUACACAGAAACCACAGAGAGCACUGCAGGCUGUGAGGGGAGGUCAGCUAGUGAAAGGAGUGGCUGCUAAGCUAAACACUAAAACAGCUAGGUUAGCAUUAACCAGCCACGGUUAGCUACAAACUCUUCAGCUAGCUAAUUCCACACUGUGCCAAGAGGACACUGCUCUGUUUUGGGUCAGCUUCUCACAGUGAAAGGAUGGACACGAACACCUGUUGACCUUCCAAAUCUGAAAUGCUGGAAAAACAACAACGCACACUUCACCCCUCCCCUCCCCAGCUGUAAUGGAGACGUGGAAGCACACUUUGUUCAGGAGCUUCUGUUGAAACCACCAGAAUUUCUGCUCUCACUCCAGAGGGAUUAGCAUCCUUAAGCCCGCGUUGGAGCUCCAGCCGGCCAAGAGCAAACAAACAAGUAAAAAAAGGAUUUCCAUACACACAGCUGCCCAGUCACGCAGGAUACACACCACAGCACAUCAGUCUGUGUGACUGAUUGUCAUCACGCACCUGUAGAACGUCUGAUCUUUACCUGCAUUACAGUCCCGGAGUUAUAUCAGCUUUUACAAAUGGGACUGUAUGAUCAAUAGCUGAAUUUAUUAAUAACUAAUUAAUGCUCAUAUAAAAAUCUUAAUUCUUGGCAAAAUAUUCUGUGAAUUUAUAGUUAAUAGGUAAAUAUUAUUGGGAGUUGUUAUCAGCGAGCUUACAUAUCAUUUAAAUAGG